UAAUGCAGUCGAGCGGACAGAUGGGAGCUUGCUCCCUGAUGUUAGCGGCGGACGGGUGAGUAACACGUGGGUAACCUGCCUGUAAGACUGGGAUAACUCCGGGAAACCGGGGCUAAUACCGGAUGGUUGUUUGAACCGCAUGGUUCAAACAUAAAAGGUGGCUUCGGCUACCACUUACAGAUGGACCCGCGGCGCAUUAGCUAGUUGGUGAGGUAACGGCUCACCAAGGCAACGAUGCGUACCCGACCUGAGAGGGUGAUCGGCCACACUGGGACUGAGACACGGCCCAGACUCCUACGGGAGGCAGCAGUAGGGAAUCUUCCGCAAUGGACGAAAGUCUGACGGAGCAACGCCGCGUGAGUGAUGAAGGUUUUCGGAUCGUAAAGCUCUGUUGUUAGGGAAGAACAAGUACCGUUCGAAUAGGGCGGUACCUUGACGGUACCUAACCAGAAAGCCACGGCUAACUACGUGCCAGCAGCCGCGGUAAUACGUAGGUGGCAAGCGUUGUCCGGAAUUAUUGGGCGUAAAGGGCUCGCAGGCGGUUUCUUAAGUCUGAUGUGAAACCCCCCGGCUCAACCGGGGAGGGUCAUUGGAAACUGGGGGAACUUGAGUGCAGAAGAGGAGAGUGCAAUUCCACGUGUAGCGGUGAAAUGCGUAGAGAUGUGGAGGACACCAGUGGCGAAGGCGACUCUCUGGUCUGUAACUGACGCUGAGGAGCGAAG
rnacentral:rRNA from 1 species